CCCUUCAGUGCUGCAGCAAACGCAUUAAGCACUCCGCCUGGGGAGUACGACCGCAAGGUUGAAACUCAAAGGAAUUGACGGGGGCCCGCACAAGCGGUGGAGCAUGUGGUUUAAUUCGAAGCAACGCGAAGAACCUUACCAGGUCUUGACAUCCUUUGACCACUCUAGAGAUAGAGCUUCCCCUUCGGGGGCAAAGUGACAGGUGGUGCAUGGUUGUCGUAGCUUCGUACCGAAAAGUGGCCCCCUUU
rnacentral:rRNA from 1 species